GAUGAAGAACGCAGCGAAAUGCGAUAAGUAGUGUGAAUUGCAGAAUUCAGUGAAUCAUCGAAUCGUUGAACGCACAUUGCGCCCCUUGGUAUCCCGAGGGGCAUGCCUGUUCGAGCGUCAUUUCACCACUCAAGCCUGGCUUGGUGUUGGGCGACGUCCCCUUUGGGGACGCGCCUCGAAACGCUCGGCGGCGUGGCACCGGCUUUAAGCGUAGCAGAAUCUUUCGCUUUGGAAGUCGGGGCCCCGUCUGCCGGAAGACCUACUCGCAAGGUUGACCUCGGAUCAGGCAGGGAUACCCGCUGAACUUAAGCAUAUCAAUAAGCGGAGGA
rnacentral:misc_RNA from 1 species